GGGCCCGCACAAGCGGUGGAGCAUGUGGUUUAAUUCGAUGAUACGCGAGGAACCUUACCAGGGCUUAAAUGCAGAACGACAGAGGUGGAAACACCUCCUUCUUCGGACGGUCUGCAAGUGCUGCAUGGUUGUCGUCAGCUCGUGCUGUGAAGUGUCGGGUUAAGUCCCAUAACGAGCGCAACCCCUAUUUCUAGUUGCCAGCGGUUCGGGUGGGAACUUUAAGGAGACUGCCGUGAAUAACACGGAGGAAGGUGGGGACGACGUCAAGUCAUCAUGGCCCUUACGGGUUGGCUACACACGUGCUACAAUGGGAGAUACAGACGGUUGCGAAAGCGCGAGCUGGAG
rnacentral:rRNA from 1 species